CUGAUUAACUUGUACUUGCAGGGAUGAUAGACCCAUACAUGGCCGUGCAGUACUGGGGCCAGGAGCACAAGGGAGGCACCGCCCGAGGUCAGUGCUUCCAUAGCUCUCUGGUUUUUUUAUUUCGUUACUCAUCUAUGUUCAAAGUGACUGAAAUGUAUGCCCUGGUCUGCACUGUUCAGUUCCACAGGAAAUUUCUUGCCAUUGGCACCAUUAUGACCAUUAUUUCCUAUGCAAGCACACAAUUGAAAAGUUUGUUUGGAUAGUUAAUUUAGUUCUUUGUGUUGGAUCCACAUCUCACGUGUACCAUCCUUGGACAUGAUGCACGCCGCCAGGUCCGCGCCGACAUCGUGCUCAUGAAGCCUGGCCUCUGCGUUGUGUUCUCCAUCUUGCAACGCAUGAUGAACUACACGGUAGAGUUCAGCCGAGGAAGAAUCAGGUGAUUCUGGAUUGUUGUGUAAUUGUUUAUAUUCCUAACUGAGAUGGGAUUACAGUUUAUUUGCUUGAUUAUUUGUCAUGUUUACUUAGAUAAUCCAUUGAUGGUUGAUCUGGUUAAGUACAUAUGCUACCCCUUGUUUGUUUAUAUUGCUAGCUGAGAUGGGAUUACAGUUUAUUUGCUUGAUUAUUGGCCGCAUUUACUUAGAUAAUUCAUUGAUGGUUGAUCUUGUUAGCUACAGAUGCUACCCCCUAUUCUGAACAAGCUUUAAUUUUGGUGGACUAAUCCCAGUUUGACAUAGUUGCUGGUCAUCAACAAAAAGCCGACCACAUAAUCCUGUAUUUUAUUUCUGUGUCGUUUCAAAAUUUCUGCUCUACACAGAAUCUUAAGAAGUUUGGGUAUGCACACAUGUCCUAAUAAUAAUGAGUUGUUUAGUGCAAUGCAUGUGGCCUGAUUACUUCUUUUCUUUCCUUUUUUAUGUUGUACGUUCUUGGAGGUCGCCUUUUCUUUCUUCUGUUGAUCAAGUUUUCUUCUUCUUUCUUCUGCUUAUCAGGGUUUCUUCCUUUCCUUUUUCUGGAAAUUGCAUUUAUUAUGUGACCUAUGUAUUUUCAUUAUUCUUGCUUCAUUGGUCAUGUUGAUAUUCUGGGUUUGGCCCGACAUUUUGUUUUCUUUUGCCUCAUGCCAUUCAUAUUUUGUGGUUGCGUGUGGACAUGAUUUGCGUGCUUAUUUCAAUUGUUAGCCAUGUAUCAUGGUGUGCUUUGCCUGCUUUUUCAUGCUUGUGUGAAUUGACCAUGGUCUGUUCUUGUUGGGGUAAAGCCUGAACUGCCGGGUACACUUUGGUUAUUGUCCUUAUUCUGGUUCUCCUUGGCAUCUUUCUAUCACUGGAGAUCCUUGUUUUCAAAUAGCAGGGAUAGAGGGACAGAAAAGAUAUAUUUGUCACGGCGCUGCAAGUGUUGCCCCCCUCCUCCCCAAGGGCAAGGUGAAGGAAGGUGCCUGUGUGGUUCUUAUGCAGUUCGCAACGAGGAUUGUUGUGUCCAACCUGCACAAGAAUGCCAAGAAGUCCUUCUCGGAGACGAUUAAGGACAUGUACCUGCACUACAACGAGAGAUUUGGGCUGCUUCUUUGUGGCUUCCAAACUUGAAAUGUUUGUUUGGAAGUUAGUUUAGUUUUUUGUUGUGGAUUCAUAGCUUCUCACAUGUACCAUCCUCUUAGACCUUUAGAUUUCCAAAGAAACUAAAUGAAGAUAUGGUGGUAUGGUCUCAAUAAUACAAUUUAAAGCCUUCCAUGCUUUAUAUUUUCUUUGAAAUUUGCUCUUGAAGAAUCAUGUAUCUACGUUUGAUUUGGUGAGAAAAGGCGGCUUUCAAGCA